AUGAACGCUGGCGGCUUGCCUAAUACCUGCAAGUCGAGCGAACAGACGAGGAGCUUGCUCCUCUGACGUUAGCGGCGGACGGGUGAGUAACACGUGGAUAACCUACCUAUAAGACUGGGAUAACUUCGGGAAACCGGAGCUAAUACCGGAUAAUAUAUUGAACCGCAUGGUUCAAUAGUGAAAGACGGUUUUGCUGUCACUUAUAGAUGGAUCCGCGCCGCAUUAGCUAGUUGGUAAGGUAACGGCUUACCAAGGCAACGAUGCGUAGCCGACCUGAGAGGGUGAUCGGCCACACUGGAACUGAGACACGGUCCAGACUCCUACGGGAGGCAGCAGUAGGGAAUCUUCCGCAAUGGGCGAAAGCCUGACGGAGCAACGCCGCGUGAGUGAUGAAGGUCUUCGGAUCGUAAAACUCUGUUAUUAGGGAAGAACAAAUGUGUAAGUAACUAUGCACGUCUUGACGGUACCUAAUCAGAAAGCCACGGCUAACUACGUG
rnacentral:rRNA from 1 species